AUUUCACUGAUUGUCUUCCUACAACACAUUUACCACCUACAACCCAUUUAUCACCUACAACAUAUUUACCACCUACUACACCAAAUCCUCCACCUGCUUAUAAAUAUGUCCUUUCUGUUGAGAUGAACAUCACAGAUUUGACAACAGUCAACAUGUUGAGGAGCAUUCUGAGAAACAUCUCCUACCCACUCAGUAUCAAGAGAAACACACAGAUCAAUCAGUCCAAUAUCACUACAGUUUGCACUCCAAUCAAUAAUGGUCACCAGUGCAUUUGUGAGGACCAGUAUCGGUGGUCAUGUGACCAGUGUCUGAUGUAUGGAGCAUGUGACCAGAUCUCUGCAGGCUCAUGUGGAUGCAUCAACGCCAUUCCUUCUGACAGAAACUUCUGCCAGUCUCUGUAUCAACACAGUAAGAAGUUU